rnacentral:rRNA from 1 species
CCUACGGGAGGCAGCAGUGAGGAAUAUUGGUCAAUGGACGAGAGUCUGAACCAGCCAAGUAGCGUGAAGGAUGACUGCCCUAUGGGUUGUAAACUUCUUUUAUAUGGGAAUAAAACAGGGUAUGCAUACCCUCUUGUAUGUACCAUAUGAAUAAGGAUCGGCUAACUCCGUGCCAGCAGCCGCGGUAAUACGGAGGAUCCGAGCGUUAUCCGGUUUUAUUGGGUUUAAAGGGAGCGUAGGUGGAUUGUUAAGUCAGUUGUGAAAGUUUGCGGCUCAACCGUAAAAUUGUAGUUGAAACUGGCAGUCUUGAGUACAGUAGAGGUGGGCGGAAUUCGUGGUGUAGCGGUGAAAUGCUUAGAUAUCACGAAGAACUCCGAUUGCGAAGGCAGCUCACUGGACUGCAACUGACACUGAGGCUCGAAAGUGUGGGUAGCAAACAGGAUUAGAUACCCUGGUAGUC